GUGACCGCCGUGUCCUUCUUUGCAGUCGUCGGAAGCCCCCCUCUGUUUUCCCUUUUCUCCGCUUUUUUAUGUUUUUCUAUGUGGCUUUCUUGUCGUUGUGGCGGGGGUGAAGCGUUGAGGUCUCUCUCCUGGUGCAGAUCUGAGGCAUCAAAAGUAGAUCUGUGUUGUUUCUUGCGGGGACAGAGGUGCUAGAUGACGGUGUGUUCCCCUAUCCGCGGUUUCUUCCAGAUUUGUUUGGUGUUUUUGGUCGGAAAUAUUUUUUUCUCAGAUCUCGGCGUUCUUCUCGGGUAGCAGCGCGUGGUCUGUCGGUGAGACCCUCAAGGUCUCAGAUCUGGGUUUCAUUAACUCAGAUGUUCUUUUUCAGCUUUUUGCCACCGGUGGCCUGAGGUGGUCACGCAUGGAGCUCUUUGUCAGUGUGGGUUUUCUCUUCUCCUCCGAGUUAGUUCCGGUGGCGGCGCGUGGAGGCAUGUUGGCUCUGCCUCUUUGAAGUGUCUUGCGGGUCCGCUCUCCUCAAGGUUGAAAUGUUUCGACGGUGUGGCAUCACUGUCGCUGUCCUUCGCUCCUUGCUGUUUCUCAGCGCAUCUUAGCUGUCGUCGAAGCAGUGAAGCCUUGGGUUGGUUGGAGACAUGUCUCCAGUUGGGCGCUCAGGCUGCUCUCUCUCUCGGUGAAGCUGCUGUGGAGGUGGGGGUUUUGUCCGGUCCGCUUGCUCUAUAUGGGAUUUCGGUUCAACGUGUGUAACGGUGCCAGUAAAGAGGUUUGGAGGCGGUAAUCUCUAAGUCUCAGACCGAACGACGGCGUCAUCAGAUGGUAUCUCUGUUUCGUGUCGCCGGGGUCUGUGGAUCUCGGGUUGGUUUGUCUGCUUGUGGUUGCGAUUGUUUGUCGUCGGUUAUUCGGAUCUUCUGAGCCAGGAUCAAAUCUGUGUGAGUGGGGCAAAGAAUUACGAAGCAGGCACUACACAGUAUAUAGCUGUGCUCCAAUUUUUCGAGUCCUCACUUGCUUUCUUUACUGCAUAAGGGCGGUACAGAAUAGUCGAAGAAAGUAAGCAACUGCGACAAUUCUUGGGGUGGUCUGUGAUUUGUAGUCGGUAUGGGAGCUGUAGGAAGGUGUUGCAACAUGGUUUGAGGGCAUCCACCUCUCUCUUUCUCGCUGCGACCCAUUUGUUCUUGCGGUCCUUACCAAUUCCUUGGUCUAAGCUUGUUUCGUUGGUUUCCCUCUCUACUGUCUACCUUCUAGUCUUUGUUCAAAGUUAAGAUGUGGUUGAGUAGCUCUGUUGUUUAGUUUCAUCCAGUUUUCUGCUAUUAAUAUCC
rnacentral:lncRNA from 1 species